rnacentral:lncRNA from 1 species
GAAAGAAUGAAACCUAGAAUGGAAGGCAAAAAAUAUGGACUUAAAGCGUAAUGGAUCCAAUCAAUCUCGAUGACUAUAAGUGGAGUGUUAUUCCUAGUUAUUUUACCCAGUGACAGUUAUAUUAUACGAAUGAUUUAAGUUUCCUUUUGCAAAUACGUAUACAAAGUAAUGAAUGCAAUGUUGAAAAUUAUAUGAUGCAAAGGUUUUCGCACACCCUUAUGGUUAGGUGAGGUAACCAGCCUUACUUUCAUGGACUGAAUUUAGAAUUGACUUUAAUUAUAAUUAGUUGCUGCAUAUCUCAAUGUUAAAUGCAACAUUAGACGU